AACGAACGCUGGCGGCGCGCUUAACACAUGCAAGUCGAGCGGACCCGCAAGGGUCAGCGGCGAACGGGUGAGUAACACGUGGGUAAUCUGCCCUGAAGACCGGGAUAACUCGGCGAAAGCCGAGCUAAUACUGGAUGAGCAUCCGACGAGGCAUCUCGAUGGGUGAAAAGUGGCAACACACUUCAGGGUGAGCCCGCGGCCCAUCAGCUAGUUGGCGGGGUAAAGGCCCACCAAGGCAACGACGGGUAGCUGGUCUGAGGGGACGAUCAGCCACACUGGAACUGAGACACGGUCCAGACUCCUACGGGAGGCAGCAGUGGGGAAUUUUCCACAAUGGGCGAAAGCCUGAUGGAGCAACGCCGCGUGUGUGAUGAAGGUUUUCGGAUCGUAAAGCACUUUCGACUGGGACGAAAAACCUUUGGCUAACAUCCAGGGGCCUGACGGUACCAGGAGAAGAAGCACCGGCUAACUCUGUGCCAGCCGCCGCUGUAACAC
rnacentral:rRNA from 1 species